AGUGAACGCUGGCGGUAGGCCUAACACAUGCAAGUCGAACGGCAGCACAGUAAGAGCUUGCUCUUACGGGUGGCGAGUGGCGGACGGGUGAGGAAUACAUCGGAAUCUACUUUUUCGUGGGGGAUAACGUAGGGAAACUUACGCUAAUACCGCAUACGACCUACGGGUGAAAGCAGGGGAUCUUCGGACCUUGCGCGAUUGAAUGAGCCGAUGUCGGAUUAGCUAGUUGGCGGGGUAAAGGCCCACCAAGGCGACGAUCCGUAGCUGGUCUGAGAGGAUGAUCAGCCAAACUGGAAAUGAGACACGGUCCAGACUCACACGGGAGGCAGGAGUGGGGAAUUUUGGAAAAUGGGCGCAAGCCUGAUCCAGCCAUACCGGGUGGGGGAAGAAGGCCUUCGGGUUGUAAAGCCCUUUUGUUGGGAAAAAAAAGCAGCAGGUUAAAACCCCGCUGUUCUGACGGUACCCAAAGAAUAAGCACCGGCUAAUUUCGU
rnacentral:rRNA from 1 species